GAUGAACGCUGGCGGCGUGCCUAAUACAUGCAAGUCGAGCGGUAAGGCUUUCACAGAUUAUUUAACCAGACAAGUCCACGGAUACUGUCUGCAGCUAUGUCUCCCUAGGCUAGGGAACAGAGUUGAAUAAUGCGUGAAAGUACACGAGCGGCGGACGGCUGAGUAACACGUAGGAACGUACCCAACUGAGGGAUAAGCACCAGAAAUAGGUGUCUAAUACCGCAUGUGCUCUUCGGAGUAAAGCUACGGCGGUUUGGGUAACGGCCUGCGCAAGAUUAGCUUGUUGGUGUGGUAACGGCGCACCAAGGCGACGAUCAGUAGCUGGUCUGAGAGGAUGAUCAGCCACAUUGGGACUGAGACACGGCCCAAACCUCCUACGGGAGGCAGCAGUGGGGAAUAUUGACAAUGGGCGCAAGCCUGAUCCAGCC
rnacentral:rRNA from 1 species